CCGCCGGCGACCGGCACACGGGUGAGUAACACGUAUGCAACCUGGCCGUGACAGAUGGAUAACCGGGAGAAAUCCCGCCUAAUACAACAUAAUGCCGGGAGGGGACAUCCCCUGCCGGCCAAAGGGGGCGACCCCGGUCACGGAUGGGCAUGCGGCGCAUUAGGUAGUUGGUGGGGCAACGGCCCACCAAGCCGACGAUGCGUAGGGGUUCUGAGAGGAAGGUCCCCCACAUUGGAACUGAGACACGGUCCAAACUCCUACGGGAGGCAGCAG
rnacentral:rRNA from 1 species